rnacentral:lncRNA from 1 species
GGCAAACUCACAGUUUUGGGCUUGUUGUGUGUACGUUUAAAAAUCUUGGAUUUGCUAUGCAUAUGUGAGUAUUUCAAUAUCAACGUAUCAUUACAAUUUGAUGAUGAUGUUCUGCAAAUAAAAAUCACAUAUAAGAAAGAUACAAGCUGAGCAUCAAAUAAAAUGUGAUCAGAAAAGGAACUCUGAACAAAUAAGAAGACAGUACAGAAAUACAAAGUAAUUUUAUUUAUUUGUUUAUUUAUUUAUUUCAGGUAUACCUGCAAAGAUGUUGCUAGGACUAUCAAGCAAUGGCAGGCAAUAGGCUGGGAUGCAUCUCCGUUGCUUUAUGUGAGGAUCAGAGCUACCGUGUUCCCAGAUGGGUCUUUGGGGUACAAAGGAUAUCUCUCCUUGAGGGAGCCAGUGAUGAACUGAAGUGUCUAUAGGUAAGUUUGGUAGGUUUUGAGAAGUGUGUUUUUUGUGUGUUUUAAUAUAGAAAAAAAUGUUACAGAUAGUGAACUGACAACAAACUUUCCAUCCCCUGGUGUACAUCCAAAGCCAGCAAACACACUGCAAAGAUUGCCUUCCUUUUAUGACUGGUAAUGACAAAGAAGUACAAGCUUAUUACUAUUUAUUCACCUUUUACCACCUCAGCUGAAAUGCGUUUCACUUAAAAAAUUUUGAUCUGUAUUCGCAAGUCACUUCAAAAUUCAAUGCGAUGUUGGGAAAUUUUUAGGGAAGUGCAA